AACUUGAGAGUUUGAUCCUGGCUCAGAACGAACGCUGGCGGCAUGCCUUAUACAUGCAAGUCGAACGAGAAAGUCACUUCGGUGGCGAGUAGAGUGGCGCACGGGUGAGUAACGCGUAGAUGAUCUACCCUUCAGUCUGGGACAACUCUUGGAAACGGGAGCUAAUACCGGAUAAAACCUUCGGGUUGAAAGCUUUAGUGCUGGAGGACGAGUCUGCGUACCAUUAGCUUGUUGGUGGGGUAAGAGCCUACCAAGGCGACGAUGGUUAGCGGGUCUGAGAGGACGAUCCGCCACACUGGAACUGAGACACGGUCCAGACUCCUACGGGAGGCAGCAGUAGGGAAUAUUGCGCAAUGGGGGAAACCCUGACGCAGCAAUGCCGCGUGAGUGAAGAAGGCCCUCGGGUCGUAAAGCUCUUUUAUGGGGGAAGAUGAUGACGGUACCCCAUGAAUAAGCACCGGCUAACUACGUGCCAGCAGCCGCGGUAAUACGUAGGGUGCGAGCGUUGUUCGGAAUUACUGGGCGUAAAGGGCGUGCAGGCGGAUUGGUAAGCCGGAGGUGAAAGCCCGGGGCUCAACCCCGGAGGGGCUUUCGGAACUGCCAGUCUUGAGAGGGUCAGGGGCCAGCGGAAUUCCUGGUGUAGAGGUGAAAUUCGUAGAGAUCAGGAGGAACACCGGCGGCGAAAGCGGCUGGCUGGGGCCACUCUGACGCUGAGGCGCGAAAGCGUGGGGAGCAAACAGGAUUAGAUACCCUGGUAGUCCACGCCGUA
rnacentral:rRNA from 1 species